rnacentral:lncRNA from 1 species
CUAGAUGAAAGAAACUAUUGUAAAAACCAAAAAUCACCUUUUAUUUCUUGUUUUUUUUAAGAAAAAGGGACCGAACCCCCUUUACAUAUUAAAUCUGGCUUUUUAUAGCCGAAAGAACGAAAAAAAUUUGUCUUCGUUUCUGCUUGCGUGUUUGUUUCUCUUUGCAGGUGGAGCAGGUGGAGCAGGUGAGCAGCGAUGGGACGUGCGGCGGCCAGCAAGUGAACGGCGGAGUUGGUGGGUCUGCUGGUAUGGGUUCUUCUGUUUCUUUCUUGGGUCCGGGCAAAUGGGCUUGCAACAGCUGCCCCUCUUUGCUCGUUGUCGUGUAACGAUAACAGAGCAAAGACUAAGAAAGGCCCAUUUUGCCCGGUCUUGCCGAGUCUUGCCUUGUUCUGGUACUUCUCCAUUUCAAGUAGUUUCAUUCCAGUCCACUAGGUCUUGUUGCUUCGAUCCAUUCCACUGCAUUUUAGAGAGAUGCGUCCUGUAGCCUUUAUCUUCUUCGUAGCAACUUCAGGGGGACGAGGUUUGUGGUUUUCAAUCUAUUCCACUGCAUCUUCAGGGAAAUAAGACUUGAUGCGGCCUACUCUGCUGUAACCUCAGAGAGAUAAGAUCCUUUAUUUUAACCCACUCCACUGUAACUUCAGGGAGAUAGGAUAGUGUCUUCGAUCUGCUCCGCUGUAAUCUCGGGGAGAUAAGAUCUGAUGUGAUCUUCUCUACUGUAACUUCAGAGAGAUAAGAUCCUUUAUUUUAAUCCGCUCCACUGUAACUUCAGGGAGAUAGGAUUAUAUCUUCGAUCUGCUCCGCUGUAACCUCAGGGAGACAAGAUCUGCGAUUCUUCGGUCUGUUCCACUGUAAUCUCAGGGAGAUAAGACCUGAUGUGAUCUUCUCUACUGUAACUUCAGAGAGAUAAGAUCCUUUAAUCCGCUCCAUUGUAAUCUCAAGGAGAUAGGAUUACUAUCUUUGAUCUGCUCCGCUGUAACCUCAGGGAGACAAGAUCUGCGAUUCUUCGGUCUGUUCCACUGUAAUCUCAGGGAGAUAAGACCUGAUGUGAUCUUCUCUACUGUAACUUCAGAGAGAUAAGAUCCUUUAUUUUAAUCCGCUCCACUGUAACUUCAGGGAGAUAGGAUUAUAUCUUCGAUCUGCUCCGCUGUAACCUCAGGGAGACAAGAUCUGCGAUUCUUCGGUCUGUUCCACUGUAAUCUCAGGGAGAUAAGACCUGAUGUGAUCUUCUCUACUGUAACUUCAGAGAGAUAAGAUCCUUUAAUCCGCUCCAUUGUAAUCUCAAGGAGAUAGGAUUACUAUCUUUGAUCUGCUUCGCUGUUAAUGCAGGAAGGCAAGAUCUACUUCUUUAACUAGCUCCACUGCAAUCGAUGGGUGCAAGGCUUUGUUUUCGAUCUGCUUCGCUGUUAAUGUAGGAAGGCAAGAUCUUUUGUCUUCAACCAGCUCCAUCACAACCGAAAGAGGCAAGGUUUGUGUCUUCGAUCUGCUUCGCUGUCAAUGCAGAAAGGCAAGAUCUUUUAUCUUCGACCAGCUCCAUCACAACCGAAAGAGGCAAGGUUUGUGUCUUCGAUCUGCUUCGCUGUCAAUGCAGAAAGGCAAGAUCUUUUGUCUUCAACCAGCUCCAUCACAACCGAAAGAGGCAAGGUUUGUGUCUUCGAUCUGCUUCGCUGUCAAUGCAGGAAGGCAAGAUCUUUAACUUCAUUGAUCUGUCCCUUGGGGAACAUGACCUGUAUGUUCUAUUUUAUGAACCUAAUUGUGCCUAGUGAUUAGGAUGACAUAAUCAGAAUGAAUCAAAUGCUCCUAACUAGAUAUGUAUGAAUGACAUUUGAAUGAAUGCAAAACGUCAUGAAGAUGAUUCCUUAAUGCUUAGGUUAACAUCACGUAAAAACUUGUUAAGGUUUUAUCACUGACGUACUACAACGCCUUUUGCUCGUUUGGUAUAUCCAAAGAAACACUUAAUCUGGUUGCCCCCCACUGUAAACCUUAACGUUUAAUCUAUUAGGGCACAAAAUUUGUACCAUCAUUCUCCCACUACAAUCCAAGGGUAGAAAUAUGGUUUUUCCUCAAUCCUCUUUUAUCACAAUUCAAGGAUAUAGGAUCUUAAUCUUUCUGGUCCCCCUUACACCAUUUCCAGGGUGUCGUUUCAAAGACUCAUGCACAAAUGAAGGCUCUCUUCUCCGAGGUAACCUCUUCCUAUUGCCUAGUGAUCAUUGCUUGCUUGUUUAUUUAAGCUUUUUCAUUGACACGACAUCUUGUCAUUUUGUUCAAUCAAUGCAUUUGUCAACAAAAUCCAAAGAGAAAGUCCAAACUUAGACUCUUCCUUCUCAAAUUCCCAACCUUCAAAUUUGGCAUGUUCUAAACAAUAGUCCUGUUUCAGGUUCCUGUAUUAUUUAGAAACUUUUCAGAGUAAUAUGCAAAACUUCCUUUGUGAAUAGUUUUAUUAGUCCAUUAAUCAUUAUUCCAAUGCUUGCAAAAAAGGUCAUAACAAUGGAUAAGAAUAAAGUUGGUUCUGAGCAUAGCUCGAAAGAACAAAUUAUCGAAAAUAGUGAAGAAGGACAACAAAAGAAUUAAUUGGGAAUGUAUAUCUUGGAAAGAAAGAAAAAGUAUUCCAAGAACAACAAAUAACAUGAGAAUUGGGUGCCCCAGAUAUCACAGCUUGAACUUCUCUAUACAAACUUUCUGAAGACCCUUUUGAGUUGGACAUGUGUUUAGGAGAUCUACAAUGCUCUGUCAAUGCCCCCAAGAUGUCGCCUAUCCUUUCCUGUUGAUUCAGGUAUGGCAAGAUCAACACAUGCCUCAAUAUGAACAAAACUUGAGCAGCUUAUAUCACCUCAUGCCCCAUUUUGAUCAGUAUUUGAGCCGCCCUUUUCGGGUUUUCAGCUCAGAUCCCCUUUGGCCUAAGGCGCCCUUUGCGGGUUUUCCCCUUAGCCUCUCCAUUUUUACUUUUUCAUUUUUCAUUUUUUUAUCUUCUUCUCUUUUUUUUUUUUUUUUUGAAUCAAAGUGCCCUUUUGCAGGUUUUCACCUUGGUCCUUCCUUCUUCUUUAAACGAAGUGUUUCUGGAUCCGAGUUUAUAGGAUUAGCAAUCUCACUCAGGAUCAGUGCUCUUCUAGAAAUGGUCUUCUUUACAACAUAGGGACUUUCCUAGUUUGGCAUUCAUUUCCCUUUAGAAUCCUUUCAUUAAGGAAGAACCUUUUUCAACAUCCAGCCCUCUUGUGGAAUUCUCUGAGACGAGCAUGUUUAUUAUGGGCUCAUAUUAUUUAUUUAUGGUACAUCUGACCCUGAUGAAUAGCUUUUAACCAUUUUCCUAGGGCCAACUAAUCACAUUGCGAUUGGAUCCAAGCAACGAGGGGAUUUUAAUAGGUAGAACUACCUCAAUCCUGUAAACCAAAAAGAGAAGUGUUGCCCCAAUACCGAUGUUCGACAAACAAUGAGGGUAAAUGGUAAUUUCUCACAUCGAUCCUCGUAAGUCUCAGUCAUUUUCCUUCAAUUUUUGAUGUUCAACUCUAGGAACUCCAGUGACGAAUUGUGGUGUCCACUUCUGAGCUAAUUUGAGACUUCAGCUAUCGUGCUAUUGUUUAACCUCAAUGCAUUCUCCAAUACUCUCUUCUCUGAAAUUCUGUAUCGGUAUACGAUGCCUUUAGCUCAUGAAGUAGCCUCUCAAAAUGAAACAAUGCCCAUUAGAAGUCUUCGAUAAUGGUGAUGUUCUUGCCCCAUUGUGCUCAAAAUUUGAGUCGUCCUUUUUCGGGUUUUCAACUCAGAUUCACCUUUGGUCAAAGCGCCCUUUGUGGGUUUUCGCCUUGGCCUCUCCUUUUUCUUUUUCCUAUUUUGACUUUGAUUUUUUUGAUUUUUUUGAUUUUUUGAAUUCAUGAGAUUAGGCAAGUUCUGGUCACGCUUUUCGACCAGAAUCAAUGUUAUUCUAAAGUCUCCCACAUAAGAUCUUCCACUUUCAUCUUGUAUGUGAGAAACCUUCUUUGGUACCAGAUUUCUUUCAUAGAGCCCUUUUGGGACGCAACUACGACAGAAAAAUUUAGAUCUCUAUCUUUAAUCAGGAUAAAAUCCAACAACAUCUUGAAGGGAUGGAAACUCAGCUUCAAAUGGGUAAAGCUAUGCCGACUCAACGAGAGAGGCAUUGCCCCGGCAAAGAAUUGCAUCGUUCGCACUGUAAAUUUCUGACAUCGUGCUGUUGUGCAGGUUUUAUUAUCAAGCUCACAAUUUCUAAUGAUUCACUGAGAGGUAGGAUCUGUUUAUCCUUUUGUUCUACCAUCCUCAACAAGUUUGGAGAUAAGCUACGCUCUGUGUCAACUUCAAAGUCGUGAGAUCCCUCUAAACACAUGUCUCGCUCAAAAGGAGAUUCUAAGUCUGUAGCAGUGUCAUUCAUGUCGUUGAUAUCCAGAGACCUAUUGUAGGUACAAAAUAAUAUAUAAAGAAUGUAUGAAUUUAAGAAUAAUUAUCUGCACAGUAUGAUUAUGAAUGAAUGAAAGAAUGAUUUGGAUGGAAGAAUAAAAGAAUAAUCAAUGAAAAAUAUUAGUUCAAAAGAUCGCAAAGAUGCAUUCCAUUAAAAUAAUGACGUUCAGACAUAAGCCUUUUUCACGAAAGACUUCUUGUUGCUCUAGGCUGAAAGCAACAAAUGUGUUUUGAAUAUUACUCUGAGUAAGCUCUAAAUACUACAAAGGUUUCUUUAGAACACUCCCAGGUUUAUAAGGGCGAACACCUAAUAAGAUCCCUUUUCAAUUAUGCCUUCAUAUAUGGUAUUGAUGUGAAAACUUCCCAACACUUUCUCAUAUAUUGCGUUCACCCCAUUUGUUAAUCAUGAUUGGGUGGCGAAUUUUCUGCAUUAGAUGAGUCACCAAACUUGACGACACCCAUGUUGAUGAGCUUUUCAACCAGUUUCUUGAAGGCUAUGCAGUUCUCUAUGGAAUGCCCCGUAUUUCCCGCAUGAUACUCGCAUUGUGCAUUCGCAUCGUGCCAUUUGGGGUUCGGAGGCUGUGGAGGUUUCGUGUAGAGAGGGGCGACAAUACGCGCGUUGAAUAAGCUUUGAUACAACUCCUUAUAUGACAUCGGAAUUGGCGUGAAUUGAAGGUUCUCAGUGCCUUGCUUCACAUACGAUUCUUGUCUAGAUGAACCUUGCUGACUAGUAAUCACCUUUCUUGGCUGUGUAAUCGAUUUGUUGUAGGUGUUCACAUUGCUCACCUCAUUUUCCUUCUUCUUUAAGUCUGACCUCCUAUUAUUUUCUCCAGCAUCAAUCUUUCCACUUCUCACGGCACUUUCAAUCAUUUCACCGCUCAUGACUAUGUCUGAAAAACUCUUCGAAGCACUUCCUAACAUGUGGGUGAUGAACGGGGCCUUCAAUGUGUUGAUGAAGAGCAUCGUCAUUUCUUUCUCUAGGAGUGGCGGCUGAACUUGGAUAGCGACCUCCCUCCACCUUUGUGCGUAUUGCCUAAAACUUUCAUUAGGCUUUUUCUCCAUAUUUUGAAGGGUAAUUCUGUCAAGGACCAUAUCAGCUACAUGACUGUAUUGUUUCAUAAAGGCUUGUGCUAAAUCCCUCCAAGAACUAAUCUGGAUACGCGUCAAUUGAUUGUACCACUUAGACGCUGCCCCUGUGAGGCUAUCUUGAAAGCAGUGUAUGAGCAGUUGGUCGUUGUUGACGUAUCCGGCCAUACGCCUACAGAACAUAGUAAUAUGAGCUUCUGGGCAGCUGGUCCCAUUAUAUUUCUCGAAUUCUGGCAUCUUAAAUUUGUAAGGAAGCACCAAAUCUGGAACUAAACUCAGAUCUUUCGCAUCUAUUCCCCGAUAGUCGUCGAUACUUUCUAUCGCCCUAAACUUCUCUUCAAUCCAUUUCAAUUUCUCCUCAAACUGCUUUGGUAACUCCUCCUUCAUCUUGUCUUUCUCCGCUACUUCAUCGAAGUCCGGGACAACCAGAUUAUCGUCAGGACUAGAACCAGAUCUGCCCUGAAGGUUCUUCGGUAUCGAAGCGUCACCUUGAAAGUGCUGAGGCCUAAUCGAAACAGAAGAUCUUCGUGGAUGUGGUUCAAUCUGUACUUGCGCAUGCGGAGGCGUGAAACCUGGAGGAUAAAGUGGCUCAUCAUUGUUUCCUUCUUCAUCGCAAACCACAGGAUUUUUCCCUUUAUCCACUCCCUUGGUUAUUAAUUGCGUCAAUUUAGUCAUUAGUUCAUCCUGAGACUCCUUCAUCUUUUGUGCCAUGUCUUUCUGGAUCUUUUCCAUAUGUUCUUUCAUUUGCACCUGUAACUGGUCUUGCAUCUCUUUUUGCGUUUGCUCCAGUUUCUCUAAUCUUUGAUCCAUUUCUUUGGCUUUGCGACGAGUACCGUAAGGAUGUUUGGUUGAUUGGUUUUCCAGAUUAGCUGAAAUAAUUUUACAUAAUUAGGGUCACUUCGUGAAAAUCUAAUGCAUAUGAUACAAUGUAAUGCAGAUGCAUGAAAUGAAUGCCUUAAAGGGACGUUGAUUCUGAUUCAAUUACAUUUAGGAAACUUUUCUAGAAAGCAAAUUUCCUUACAUAAAACGGAUACAUGUACGACCUUACCCUCAUAUUCCAAGAAACAACAUCGAUUUUUUCUUUAUCCGCAUGUUUGAGGUAAUCUCACCAAUAGAUGCCAUUGCUAGCUCAUUUUCUUGAUCUUGGUCGCGAUCCAUCAUCUGCCCAUCUUCAUAAGGCUCGUCAGCUUGUUGAAGGCUUUUGGACAAUCGUCUCGAAUCCCCAGGCCACAAAGUAAGGUCACGAACUCUUCCAUCGCCAUUCUUGUGUUUCUCAGAAUAUGUUUGGGAAGUCGUAUUGUUUUCCACUUUAUCAAGGAAUUCGUAUUCCAUGACAAGCUUUCUAAUUUAGUAAUUGGAUUUGAAUCCAUAUCUCUUUCCUAAGAUGCAAAUGCAAUGUAAUGCAAUCAUAAUCAAAACACAACAAGAAGGGUUAGUACAAAACAUAAGCAAGCACAGAAAACAAAAAAGUACCUAAUCGGGUAGAUACUAGGGGUUUGGAGUGGCUCUACCUAGGUUAAGUUCCUAAGUCUACUAUAUGAGGGUUGGUUCUAAAGUAAGGGUACCCGAACCAGCAGAUUCCUCGAUCCUCACCCAUUAUAGGCUCAUACGGACUGAGUUCAGUUCAGGGGAAUACAUUUCCCUAUGGCCAUGCGGAGAUGAAAAUCUCACGAAGACAUAGGUACGGAUGUAUCCCGAAAGCGAUUCACUAUCCCAUGCGGAGGUGAAAACCUCACGAAGGCGUAGCUUCUCACUCCCACUUAAAAGGGUAUGACCAACGGUCAUGCAAUGCAAUGUGCAAAAAUACAUCUGAACUUAAACAGAGCAAUUAUGAAUCACAAUGACGAAGAUCAUAAUACAAUGAAAGGAUCGUAUAUUUAAACUAGGUUUUUGAUUUUUGACAAAAAGACAAAAAGUAAUCAACUCAUGGCUUGACUCUUGUGUUUUUCCCCAGCGGAGUCGCCAAGCUGUUGACACCAUUUUUUUUGAUGAAAAAAAACGGGGUCGAUUUGGGUUUUGAAAAAUGAAACGGGAGUCGCCACCAAUCCUUUUUUAUGAGGUGUGAUUGGAUCACCUUGAAAAGUGGUUGCUUUUAAUAAACGGUUUAGUUUUAUUAAAACAACGAUUUUGGUCCACAAAAUUCAGAAAAAUGGGUUCGGAGUCGGUUACGCACGAGGAAGGAUUAGCACCCUCGAUACGCCCAAAAUUGGUACCUAAUUGAUUACUUAAUGUCUUAAUGUCAAAAACUUUGAAGAACUUUAAAAAUGCGAUCCUUAUAUAAAAAUGGAAAUUUUUUGGAAAAGUAGCAUAUUUCACGUUAAUCGAGAAAGAGAAUCAUAUCCAGUAAGUUAGGAUACAAUGUCUCAAAUUCCCAACACGCAAAUGAAAAAUGCUUAUUUAAAAGAUAUUUUAGCCAUCUCGGAUUUAAAAAUGAGAUCACGACCCGUAAGUUAGGACGCAAUUUUUUAAUCCCGAGAUCAUUUAAAAUUCGAGUUUAAAAAGAUUCGUCAUUUAGAUUUAUCGUGAAAAAUCGAAACCCAGUAAGUUAAGAUACGAUCCUCUCGAAUCUAAAGACGAAAUAUUAUUUAUUCAAACAAAUUAUGUUAGGUCGAGUAAGAUAAAACACUAAAAUCGUAGUAAAAAAUGUGAAAGCAAUUUGCAUUGUUGUUAUUCAUGGCAAAAUCAUAAUGAAUACAAAAGUAUAAAAUGAUAUGAGCAAUAGCAACAAUAAUAAAUAAACAUUAGUCCUACAAUCAUAUAAAAUAACAAUGUAUAUAAACAAAUAAAUCAAAACUUUCAUUCAAAAUAAUAAUAAAAUGAAAUAAAUAGUGAACACAAAUAAAACGUAAAUGAAUAUAUAUAUGUAUAGAAAUGUAAAUUAAAAUAUGUGUGUAUACGUAAGUUACAAAAUAUAUGAAAUAUACAUAAAGUAUAUUUUAAAAUAUAAAGAAAAAAUAAACAUGUAUGAAGUGUAUGUAAGUAGAAUGAUAAUACGAGCAAUAGCAUCAAAGAUAAGAUAAAUAAAAAAGGAUGAAUCAACAACAUACAAGAAAACAAGCAUAUAAGUAAAUGAGAUUAAAAUAUUUUAAAAUAAUGAUGAAAACGUAAAUAGAUAUAAUUAUAAAGAAUGUAAGAAGAUAUAUAUGUAAGUAUACAUCAAAGUUUAAAAAUAAUAAAAAUAUAAGUAAAUAAUGAUAAUUUAUAUAUAAAAAAUGUCAAAAGUAUGUGCGUAUAUAUGUAUUUUAAAAUUAUAAAACCUAAAAAGUAUAUAUGUAUUUAAAAGAAAUAUAUAUAUGUAAAUAAAAAUUAUAAAAUAUAAAAAAUAUAUAAGUGUGUAUAUAUUCGUAAAAGUAGAAAGAUGUAUAUAGACAAAAAUAUAUGAGUACGUAUGUAUGUAUGUAUGUAUAUAUAUAUAUAUGAAAAUAAAAAAGGUAUAUAGAUUAUAGAAUAUAAAGAAUAUAUGUAUGAGUAUGUAUACAUAUAAAUUGGGAAAAAUAUGUACGUGUAUUAUAAAAAUGCAUGCAUGUAUUUAUAUUGACUUAAAUCAAGUAAUACAAACAAUAAGAAAAAUAUUAGGUAAAUAAAAUAUACACAUAUAUAUAACUUAAAAUAAAUAAUAAAGGAACUCUCCUUUUCUUUUAAAAAAAAAAUUAAAUGAACUAAAGGAUGAAAUUAAAAUCAAACCAAAAUCUGGGGGUCUAAACUGUAAAUAAAAAGCUCAGGGACUGAACUUGGAUACGCCUAAAGACUGGAGGACUGAUCAGGCAAUAUGCCCCAAUCACAGAGUGCAGCGUUUCAAUGCAAAUGACCGCACAUGGUCAAAGGACCAGACUGAAGCAGAAACAAAAUUCGCGGUCCAAAUAAAAAAAAAUAGAAAGGUCAGAUUGCGCAUCAAGCGCAAGAUGGAAGGACCAAAUGCGCAAAUUACCCAUUAGGGCAAAACAUGCGCAGAUCUCCAUCAAACGGCGCCGUUUAAAUGUUUUUAUUACUUAAAAAAAAAUGAAACCCUCAAUUUUAAAAAGAACAGAAAGCUGUUUGCUUUCUCCCCCUCCCCUAUUUCUCUCCGUCGAUCAUGUUCUCCACCGCCCGCCGUACCACCACCGUACCCGGUGGCCGACGAAGCGCGGAGAUGGGCUUCUUAGCCUCGUUUUGAGGCACAUUCGAAGGCCAUGCCUUCUCAACCCCAAAGAAAUCGAAAGAAAGGUCCCCCCUCUCCCCGGUUCGACUUCGGCGAUUGGAGAAGAGAUCUCCAGCGAUGAGUCUGUGGGAAGAUCAAGGUGAGGUUACCUUUCUCUUUACCUUUUCGUUUAUUUUCGUACAUGAAAAAGAAAAAAAGAACUAAAACACAAUAAAAAAACAAAGAAAUCAAAACCAAGAACUAGAUGAAAGAAACUAUUGUAAAAACCAAAAAUCACCUUUUAUUUCUUGUUUUUUUUAAGAAAAAGGGACCGAACCCCCUUUACAUAUUAAAUCUGGCUUUUUAUAGCCGAAAGAACGAAAAAAAUUUGUCUUCGUUUCUGCUUGCGUGUUUGUUUCUCUUUGCAGGUGGAGCAGGUGGAGCAGGUGAGCAGCGAUGGGACGUGCGGCGGCCAGCAAGUGAACGGCGGAGUUGGUGGGUCUGCUGGUAUGGGUUCUUCUGUUUCUUUCUUGGGUCCGGGCAAAUGGGCUUGCAACAACGAGUAUA